CGUUCACUUCGGUCUGUCGUCUGCCGAGCCAGUCGAAUUUUCUUUGGAGCUAGAAACAAUCAAAAGAAAAUAUUUCGUUUUUUAUGAAGUUUAAGUUUCCUUUUGGAGUACGGAGCGUCCAGCUCUGUGAAUGAUGUAAGUUUUGAAGACUAGAGGCUUCCUUUCAUCGAGUAUUUGUUUUGUUUCAAUUCGCCUUAUUCACCCGGAACUUUCUAAAGACGUUGAGGGGUACACUUCAGGGGUACACCCGGCUGCACACCAGCUGUUUGGCGCCUCACUGCUGUGUGCCCAAAUGUAGUCCUACGUCCUCAAAGAGAAACAAAUCCUACCGUGGACAGACUUCCCACCGUUUCGCCAAAGAGCAGGCACUUCGGCGUGAAUGAAUUAAUCACAUCAAGAGGGAUCCUGGUCCAUAUUUCAAGGUAAGAUGCAUAAUUAUGUCCAAUCAUACGCAUUAGCUAGCACAAAUAAGCUAGCUCGCCAAACUUGUCAUGACUCAUGUAGCCUAAUGAAGCCUAAUUAAAAAAAAAUAUGAAUGUGUAAUUACACAACGCUACAUUUAUAUGGUAUUUCCAGAUCGCUAUUUCAAAAUUAUGCUUUCAAUUUUGUGUUAAGCGAUCCGAUGGCUUACCAGAUGUGUUACCAGAACCAGUAGCAUACUUGUGCCAAAAUGAAGUUGUUUUGCUAACGAACUAAAAUACAUGCUGGUAUUUAUGGUUACAGAUCAACGCUGAGACCGAGGUUUGAUCUGAGCACGUUGAGAAGCAAUGCUUUGUUAAGGUCACCCGUGGUAUGACAACGCUAAUAAAGGAUGCUGUGCCUGCCAACUUUGUUCGUCUGGACUUCAGAGAAGCCAAAGAGGAGAAUCAUCAUUCGCAUACCGUGUAUGGAUUCCAUGGAGUAUUCCAUCGAGUAUUUCUUCUGUUUCAAUCGUCUUGGUGAAGUUUUUGAGCUGGAUCUGGAUUCUGCUGAGGAUUCGUCGACUACUAGAUGGCGAGCCACCCACUCAUUCGAAUGUGAUCCUGUUCUACAUUGCGCAUGGCAUAUUUGGUAGGAUUGUGGCCUGCUCGUGUCACAUCACUGACUAUGACUGACUUCAACGCCUUGAACUGAACUGCUUGAAAGGAGCUAUAUUUCUUUUUGAACAACUUAAAGGAACUCUCUACAUCGUCUCUUUUGAGGAUUUAAAGGACUAUUUCCAAUUUUUGAAGGACAAUUCAAUUUUAUUUUUUUCUUUAAAUGUUCAAACCUUUUUGGGGGGCGGGGGGGGGGUGUAAUUGUAAAUAUUUAAACUUUUCAAUCUCUUACUUGUGAUGUUUUUAUUUCAUUUUGUUAAUGCCCAUUUUAUUAUUUUUCCCUAUAUCCUAUGUUUGUAUUUAAGAAUGUCAUUCUUCAUUAGGGUUGCAUACAAUAUUUUCUAUGGAUACAUGAUUAUUUAUAAUGAUAAAUAAAUAAUAAUUAUUAUUAUUAUUUAUGCAAGAUGGACAUUUGACACGAACAUUAUGGUUUUCCCCGUUCAUUUUGCUUUCGAUAUCCUUUCCUUUUUGUUUUGGACUGUUUCAAUUCACGGGACGUCACUUUAAUCCUCCAAAGGACAUUUUUGGAGUGAAGCGGCCAACUCUCUUGAAUUACUGCUCUUGUCGGCUUGCGCUCGCCUCUGUGGAUCUAAUAAGGACAUAAAAGGACAGAAACUUAA